rnacentral:rRNA from 1 species
AUCUGAAAAGCGAAGGUACCACUUAAAGUCAAAAUAUUCAUGUGGUAUCUCCGUAGGGAGGUUGUGCUAACAAAAAACAACCUCGCACGAUGCUACUGGUCAGGAAGUAAGAAGUGUUGUUUUUGUACUCAUGAUGAGACAAUUAAACACCUUUUUUUCACUCUAAGUUUGCACGUUCUACGUGAUCAGCCAUCCAAAUAG